CUGGCGAUGGUCGGCUGGGCGAUGGCCUGGCUGCAGCCCGAGCGCGAGCUCCGGACGAUCGGUCGCGGUCGCGCGCGCGGGCUGCUGGA
rnacentral:tRNA from 1 species